GGGCGUGUGGUGUAGUGGUAUCACGUCUGCUUUGCAUGCAGAAGGCCCCGAGUUCAAACCUCGGCACGUCCA
rfam:Perkinsus marinus ATCC 50983 gcontig_1104296728116, whole genome shotgun sequence.